rnacentral:rRNA from 1 species
CCCUUAGAUGUUCUGGGCCGCACGCGUGCUACACUGAGUGGAUCAGCGGGUCAGGUUGCGCGAAAGCGUUUCCUAAUCUUUAAAUCCGCUCGUGAUGGGGAUUGACGGUUGCAAUUUUCUGUCAUGAACGAGGAAUACCUUGUAAGCGCGGGUCAUCAUCCCGCGCUGAAUACGUCCCUGCCCUUUGUACACACCGCCCGUCGCUCCUACCGAUCGAAGAGUUAGGUGAAUUGUUUUGAUCGAUAAGAUUUGACUAUGGUCAACUCUCGUUGUGAAAUUCUGUGAACCUGACUGUUUAGAGGAAGGAAAAGUCGUAACA